CGCUUCAAAUUUCCCAAAAGAAAAAGGUUUCCGCCACCCCCGCAUUCAUUUUCAUUUUCACUCUUGAUCUCUAAAUUUUUUGACCUAGUUCUGUCUCUCCCAAAAUAGCCACCAUCGUCCGCCACCCUAAAACCAAAAUCGACCUAAGUUGCAGCUCAUCUUUUACGAUGCUCUUUCUAUGUGCAUAAACUCUUCUCAAUCCUCUCUCACACACACCUUACCUUAUCAAUUACUAUCUUUACGUCUCUUCCUGCUAUGCUCUCCACUGUAAGCAAAUUUUCAAACUAGGGUUUGCAAAUUAUCGUGUUUAGGCUUUGGAUUGGAUUUCAAAGAUUGUUGUAAGGUCAACUUCUUUUCUCUUCUUUCUUGUCAUCGGUUUUCUGAUGAACGUUCAUUCUAUUUUUCUCUUCGGCAUGUCCAAAUUCUGUCUUUGGCUUCUCAGUUUUGAAGAUUAAUCAUUAGUGGAAUUCAGUUUCAGAUUCAGUGAAAAGUUCUCUUUCGCUCUCUGUUCUCUUUCACUCUCUCUUCUCCGAUGAACAUUAUUUGCUCUAUUUCUUAUUCGUUUUUAAAUAUUAUCCGAUUAUCACUUUUUUAACUGCCUUUUGAAGAUUCAGAACUAUAGGAAUGGGUUCAGGAUAUAAGUUCUAAUGAGUCUUCAUGUUAAUAGACUUCCAUUUGUAGGUUUUUGCAGCUCUGUUAGUUUAUCCACAACAUAUAUUGAUGGCCACAACCGUAGUUGUUGCUACUUUGAGGUAGAUCGACUAUUUGGAAUUGAGCUAUGUGGGUAACAUUCACACAUAAGUGACUGAACCACUUCUUAAAGAGGUUAUUCCAAAGCACUAGUGCAUUAGUGGUGCAAUAGUAAGAAAAUAAUCGAAGAUUACAAAUAUGAAAGUCAAGGAAGAUGGGAGGAGGAAAUAAAUGAGGAUGUGUUAAAUGAGAAGGAAAACAAGCCAAAUAGACUUAACGUUCCAAUAAGAACCUAAAAGUCAAAACCUCUAGCAAAAUUGGAUUCUGUCCAUCCUCGCAGCCAAACAAAACACACAAUGAUGGUUUAGAAAUUGAGUCAUCAAGUCAACUUCCCUAGCAUCCAUUGACAAUUACGACUUCCCUUCUUUGAGCAUCGUGAUUUUCCUUGACGGCUGGACCUGGUAACUAGUAACCAAUAAGAGGUUUAACCAACGAUGAGACUAGAGAUGUGGUAGAAGAUCUUGAUAAAGAAGUGAAUGUCUUGGAUGACGAUUUUAUGAUAGUAUUAUGUUAUUAGUACUAGCAUAACAUUUAGAUUUAUUAUAAUUUUUAAGAUAUUUGUGUUUUAAAUAUUAAGAUUUUAUUUUUAGACAAGUUUGAUUUGAUGUAAUGAUACUGUGUUUCAAUUUAUUAUCUUCAUUAUCUUAUUAUUA